rnacentral:rRNA from 1 species
CUCUCCUUGCCCGCCAGAGUACUACAAGCGAAAAGCUUAAAACUCAAAGGACUUGACGGCGUUCCAAUCACACUAGAGGAGCCUGUCCUAUAAUCGAUAACCCACGCUUCACCUCACCUAUGCUUGCACAAACCAGCCUAUAUACCGCCGUCUGCAGCACGCCUUAUAAAAGCACACACAGCAUGCAAACAAGCCACCACUAACACGUCAGGUCAAGGUGUAGCCAACGCAUAGGAAGAGAUGGGCUACAUUUUCUAAUAGUAGAAAACUACCACCAUCACCUUGAAACAGAGACACAAAGGAGGAUUUAGCAGUAAGCCACGCAAGACUAAGCCUGACUGAA